rnacentral:rRNA from 1 species
UACAGAGGGUGCAAACGUUGCUCGGAAUCACUGGGCGUAAAGGGCGUGUAGGCGGGAAUGUAAGUCGGGCGUGAAAUCCCUAGGCUCAACCUAGGAACUGCACUCGAAACUGCGUUUCUUGAGUAUCGGAGAGGAAAGCGGAAUACCUGGUGUAGAGGUGAAAUUCGUAGAUAUCAGGUGGAACACCAGUGGCGAAGGCGGCUUUCUGGACGAUAACUGACGCUGAUGCGCGAAAGCGUGGGGAGCAAACGGG